CAACCUGCCGUCUACUCUUGGACAGCCUUCUGAAAGGAAGAUUAAUACAAGAUGGCAUCAUGAGUCCGCAUGUUCACAUGAUUAAAGGUAUUCCGGUAGACGAUGGGGAUGCGUUCCAUUAGAUAGUAGGCGGGGUAACGGCCCACCUAGUCUUCGAUGGAUAGGGGUUCUGAGAGGAAGGUCCCCCACAUUGGAACUGAGACACGGUCCAAACUCCUACGGGAGGCAGCAGUGAGGAAUAUUGGUCAAUGGGCGAGAGCCUGAACCAGCCAAGUAGCGUGAAGGAUGACUGCCCUAUGGGUUGUAAACUUCUUUUAUAAAGGAAUAAAGUCGGGUAUGGAUACCCGUUUGCAUGUACUUUAUGAAUAAGGAUCGGCUAACUCCGUGCCAGCAGCCGCGGUAAUACGGAGGAUCCGAGCGUUAUCCGGAUUUAUUGGGUUUAAAGGGAGCGUAGAUGGAUGUUUAAGUCAGUUGUGAAAGUUUGCGGCUCAACCGUAAAAUUGCAGUUGAUACUGGAUAUCUUGAGUGCAGUUGANGCAGGCGGAAUUCGUGGUGUAGCGGUGAAAUGCUUAGAUAUCACGAAGAACUCCGANUG
rnacentral:rRNA from 1 species